GACGAACGCUGGCGGCGUGCUUAACACAUGCGAGUCGAACGGAAAGGCCCUGCUUUUGUGGGGUGCUCGAGUGGCGAACGGGUGAGUAACACGUGAGUAACCUGCCCUUGACUUUGGGAUAACUUCAGGAAACUGGGGCUAAUACCGGAUAGGAGCUCCUGCUGCAUGGUGGGGGUUGGAAAGUUUCGGCGGUUGGGGAUGGACUUGCGGCUUAUCAACUUGUUGGUGGGGUAGUGGCUUACCAAGGCUUUGACGGGUAGCCGGCCUGAGAGGGUGACCGGCCACAUUGGGACUGAGAUACGGCCCAGACUCCUACGGGAGGCAGCAGUGGGGAAUAUUGCACAAUGGGCGGAAGCCUGAUGCAGCAACGCCGCGUGCGGGAUGACGGCCUUCGGGCUGUAAACCGCUUUCGCCUGUGACGAAGCGUGAGUGACGGUAAUGGGUAAAGAAGCACCGGCUAACUACGUG
rnacentral:rRNA from 1 species